AUCACUUUUUUGCUAAUUAUUACUGGACAAACGUGACUAUACUUGCUGUACUAAGCAUUGACACAGUUCAGUGUUUUUUUCAUGUAAAGGUAAUAACAGAUGUCCAAAAUUAAAGGUAACGUUAAAUGGUUUAACGAAUCUAAAGGGUUCGGUUUCAUAACUCCAGAAGAUGGUAGCAAAGAUGUUUUUGUACAUUUUUCUGCUAUUCAGAGCAAUGGCUUUAAAACUUUAGUUGAAGGUCAGCGCGUUGAGUUUGAAAUUACUGAUGGCGCAAAAGGUCCGUCUGCUGCUAACGUUACUGCUCUAUAAGUUAACAGUCAGCAUUUUGAAAACCCACUUAACAGUGGGUUUUUUAUU
rnacentral:sRNA from 1 species